UGCCCAAAAAGGAUUGACAAUACGAAGAAGGAACAAGUCGCUACUGGAAGCAAAGAAGUCAACGCGUGCUCGAAGAUUGUUCGAGAUUAAUGAAUACACUCGAGGACGACUGAUUUAUCAGAAUGGCCGUGACGGCAGCCACCUUAUUUAACAGUUUUGAGAGACGGCGGCUAGAUGGCGCUAGUGGAACGUGCACCGGACGCACCAUUAUCGACAGUACAAUAUUGUAACGGUUCUCCCCGCCAAGCGAUCGCCUUUAUAAGGAGCCGCGCUUUUGAGUCGACACGCAUUUCAAACGGAUGCGUCUUGGUGCACGGACCACUGUCUCUCGACAGUCAGUACUGCACGGUUAUUGGACGUUGGAACGUUGUA